CUUCGGGGUUCCUGGGUGUCACACAGAUCCCAGUGGGGCCUCCAAAUGAAAGAACCUAGUGGGGAAACCCCCACUCAACUCCCACCAAUUCGGCGUGCACCCAAGAAUCACGAACAGACGA
rnacentral:pre_miRNA from 7 species